UUCAACUUGGCAGAUAAAUGCGUUAAAUUUAGAAUUUAUUUAUGAAAACUUCAGUUGGAA
rnacentral:tRNA from 1 species